rnacentral:rRNA from 1 species
AUCCUACGGGGCGCAGCAGUCGAGAAUCAUUCACAAUGGGGGAAACCCUGAUGGUGCGACGCCGCGUGGGGGAAUGAAGGUCUUCGGAUUGUAAACCCCUGUCAUGUGGGAGCAAAUUAAAAAGAUAGUACCACAAGAGGAAGAGACGGCUAACUCUGUGCCAGCAGCCGCGGUCAUACAGAGGUCUCAAGCGUUGUUCGGAAUCACUGGGCGUAAAGCGUGCGAAGGAUGUUUCGUAAGUCGUGUGUGACAGGCAAGGGC